GGAUUAUCAUAACCUCCGUGCGGCCGCCUUCAACUCCAGAGUCCAGGAGUUGGAUCAACGUGUCGCCGACUUGUCGGAGAGCCGGAAGGCCAAUGCCACCCUUUAACGGCAACUGGGCGAAGCCAACGCUGCGCUUCAUACCAAGGAGGUGGACUGCGGCAAGCUGGCCGAAGAGCGCGAUCGGCUGGUCGUGCGACUGGUGGAGCAGGUGGAGCUUCUCCAGAAGGCUCAGAAGGAGGCAGAGGACAAGGAGGCGGGUCUUCUUGCGGAGUUCGAGAUCGAACGCUCCGCCUGGACCGACAAGGAGGCGAUGCUGACGGCCGGCUUUGGCGAAAUCAAGGAUAUGGUCGACGACUUCUUCCCAGGUCACUCUGGUGCCGCCAACCAGGCUAUCGAGGCCGACCACGAAGGACGAAGGGCAGAAGGCGAGGAGAUCGUCGCCAACGCCCCUCGCACUCUUCGCGAGCAGCUUCUCAACAUUCAGGCUCGUCUUCGGCCGACUCAUCGGAUGUUGCGCCGUCUUCAGCGUGUCGGCGCCCAGGCGAUCGCCGCCCUGUGGCCCGAUAUGCCGUCCCCGCACACCCCCAGCUGGACUGCCGACUGACUAGAGGUGGCGGCUGGCCGCCUUGAGGCGUGGAAGGGCUCCUCGGCCCGGGCCGGAGCACGCCGGGCCUUGGAGUUCGUCAAGGCUGUCAGGACCUCGAUUCCAAGCCACAUC